rnacentral:rRNA from 1 species
CAGCCGCGGUAAUACGGAGGGUGCGAGCGUUAAUCGGAAUUACUGGGCGUAAAGCGCGCGUAGGCGGUUUGUUAAGUCGGAUGUGAAAUCCCCGGGCUCAACCUGGGAAUGGCAUUCGAUACUGGCCGACUAGAGUACGAGAGAGGGAGGUAGAAUUCCACGUGUAGCGGUGAAAUGCGUAGAUAUGUGGAGGAAUACCGGUGGCGAAGGCGGCCUCCUGGCUCGAUACUGACGCUGAGGUGCGAAAGCGUGGGUAGCAAACAGGAUUAGAUACCCUGGUAGUCCACGCCGUAAACGAUGUCUACUAGCCGUUGGGAGACUUGAUUUCUUAGUGGCGCAGCUAACGCACUAAGUAGACCGCCUGGGGAGUACGGCCGCAAGGUUAAAACUCAAAUGAAUUGACGGGGGCCCGCACAAGCGGUGGAGCAUGUGGUUUAAUUCGAUGCAACGCGAAGAACCUUACCAGGUCUUGACAUCCUCGGAACUUGGCAGAGAUGCCUUGGUGCCUUCGGGAACCGAGAGACAGGUGCUGCAUGGCUGUCGUCAGCUCGUGUCGUGAGAUGUUGGGUUAAGUCCCGUAACGAGCGCAACCCUUGUCCUUAGUUGCCAGCGCGUAAUGGCGGGAACUCUAAGGAGACUGCCGGUGACAAACCGGAGGAAGGUGGGGACGACGUCAAGUCAUCAUGGCCCUUACGACCUGGGCUACACACGUGCUACAAUGGAACGCACAGAGGGUUGCAACCUCGCGAGAGUGAGCCAAUCCCACAAAACGUUUCGUAGUCCGGAUCGGAGUCUGCAACUCGACUCCGUGAAGUCGGAAUCGCUAGUAAUCGCGGAUCAGAAUGCCGCGGUGAAUACGUUCCCGGGCCUUGU